AAGAGCCGUGUAAGGCGAGAUUUUUACGCACGGUUCUGUGAGGGCUUUGGGGUGAAUUCCCCUUAGCUACUCGAC
rnacentral:ncRNA from 1 species